GUCAACAUGGGUUAGUGGUUUGAAUGCUAGACUAUGACUCUGGAGACCAGGGUUCAAUUCCCAGCUUGGCCA